AGCAUGGGUGAAAAUGUAGUCUUUCAGAUGACUUUACUCCCUUUCCUCUAUUGCCUGCACGGCACAGCAUACGAUAAAGUAUUUUUCCCAUGACAACACGUUUUGUACUUUGUAGAUAUCAUGCCAGCAGAAAAACGACAAGACGUCAGAAGCUUUUUCCUCAACACCCAAAGCGAAACUCAGCAGCAGGCUGAAGUAGAGCAGGAUGAAACAGCUGCGUCUUCAGCGUUUCAGAUCAUCAGACCGACACCUGAGUGGCAGGAGGAGUCCUUUACUUGGUGAAAACCCUUCCUAUCUAGGCAAGAUGGGGAUUACUCUGGAG